rnacentral:tRNA from 1 species
GCGGAUAUAGUUUAUCGGUAGAACAUCGGCUUCCCAAGCCGAGAAGGCGGGUUCGAUUCCCGUUGUCCGCUCCA